GUCGAGAAUCUUUCACAAUGGGGGCAACCCUGAUGGAGCGACGCCGCGUGGAGGAUAAGGUCUUCGGAUUGUAAACUCCUGUCAUGCGUGAACAAGGUUGCUUGGUUAAUACCUGGGCAAAUUGAUGGUAACGCAAGAGGAAGAGACGGCUAACUCUGUGCCAGCAGCCGCGGUAAUACAGAGGUCUCAAGCGUUGUUCGGAAUCACUGGGCGUAAAGGGUGCGUAGGUGGCGUGGUAAGUCAGAUGUGAAAGCCCGGGGCUCAACCUCGGAACUGCAUCCGAUGCUGGCAUGCUCGAGUACUGGAGAGGUGACUAGAAUUCUCGGUGUAGCAGUGAAAUGCGGAGAUAUCGAGAGGAAUACCAAAGGCGUAGGCAGGUCACUGGACAGUUACUGACACUGAGGCACGAAGGCCAGGGGAGCGAACGGGAUUAGAAACCCCGGUAGUCC
rnacentral:rRNA from 1 species